rnacentral:rRNA from 1 species
UACGUAGGAUGCAAGCGUUGUCCGGAAUUAUUGGGCGUAAAGAGCGCGCAGGCGGUCUAUCAAGUCAGAUGUGAAAUAUCCCGGCUUAACCGGGAGGGGUCAUUUGAAACUGGUAGACUAGAGUACAGCAGAGGAUAGUGGAAUUCCCGGUGUAGUGGUGAAAUGCGUAGAUAUCGGGAGGAACACCAGUGGCGAAGGCGACUAUCUGGGCUGAAACUGACGCUGAGGCGCGAAGGCUAGGGGAGCAAACGGG